rnacentral:tRNA from 1 species
GGCUACGUAGCUUAGUUGGCUAGAGCAUUGGCUGUACUAUAGUCUUCCCCUUGCUGUCGUGAGUUCGAAUCACACCGAGGCCG